rnacentral:rRNA from 1 species
CGGUAAUACCAGCUCUCCGAGUGGUAGGGACGAUUAUUGGGCUUAAAGCGUCCGUAGCCGGCCCGGCAAGUCUCCCGUUAAAUCCAGCGACCUAAUCGUUGGGCUGCAGGAGAUACUGUUGGGCUAGGAGGCGGGAGAGGCCGACGGUAUUCCCGGGGUAGGGGUGAAAUCCUAUAAUCCCGGGAGGACCACCAGUGGCGAAGGCUGUCGGCUAGAACGCG